CCUACGGGUGGCAGCAGUGAGGAAUAUUGGUCAAUGGACGAGAGUCUGAACCAGCCAAGUAGCGUGAAGGAUGACUGCCCUAUGGGUUGUAAACUUCUUUUAUAUGGGAAUAAAACGUUCCACGUGUGGGAUUUUGUAUGUACCAUAUGAAUAAGGAUCGGCUAACUCCGUGCCAGCAGCCGCGGUAAUACGGAGGAUCCGAGCGUUAUCCGGCUUUAUUGGGUUUAAAGGGAGCGUAGGUGGAUUGUUAAGUCAGUUGUGAAAGUUUGCGGCUCAACCGUAAAAUUGCAGUUGAAACUGGCAGUCUUGAGUACAGUAGAGGUGGGCGGAAUUCGUGGUGUAGCGGUGAAAUGCUUAGAUAUCACGAAGAACUCCGAUUGCGAAGGCAGUUCACUGGACUGCAACUGACACUGAGGCUCGAAAGUGUGGGUAUCAAACAGGAUUAGAUACCCUUGUAGUC
rnacentral:rRNA from 1 species